CUUAAUAUUUAAAUACGUUCUUAUAUGAUCUCCGAAUUAUUUAAAAUUAUACUGGACGAAAAAUAUACCGAUAUAAAGCGUUUAAUGUGUUGAGAGUCCUGAAAUUUAUUCAAAUAAUUUGAAAAGAAUCGUAAAGCCGGGAGCGGCGUGCUUUUAAAUUUUGGCGCGGUAGCCAUGAGCCCUACCCCACCAAGAGUCCAGUCAACGGCGGCCAUGAUGCAUAUCCCCCACUUUGCCGACUCUUGCGUCUGCGCCGAGUUAGUCACUUGUUCCUUGUGCGUCGUGCUGGUUGUGCCGGCUCUCUAAUUUGUAACAUACCGGCGUCUGACUUUGAUAUAUCAUUAUCACUUAUAAUUAUCACCACCGGCUUAGAAACGUGUUAUAACACAUUUAGCAUCUGACAUUCGGAGUGAAGUUGGCGCAGUGACGAUGCUUGGCGCGCAAUUGCAGCUCGAUAGGGCGUGCAUCGAUAUAAUCGAUCACAUCAUUCUGACUCGUUUGGACAAUUGGCAAGAUUAUUAUUCUUUCAGGUUUUUCUUGUGACCGCGCAAUGCGGUCUUGUGUUAGAAUCAGUGUUUGCUUCGUAAUUAUGUAUUUUUCUUGAUUUUGUGGCCGCGCGCAAUGCGGUCGUAGAACCUUGCUUCAUAUUUGCAUUAUAGAUUGCAAUUUUUCUAGUUAUUUAGUCAAUUUAAAAUGUCAUUUCCUAUUUCGUAAUUCUGUCUUAAUAAAUUCUGUCGCGAAAUUCGAGUCAGUGUUUGUUUGUCGAGUAGAAUUUGAACGGGCAUAUCUGUAGUUAUCUAGUCAUUAUCUUUUUAUUCUUGUCUUGUUCUCAAGAAAGAAGGUAGCGCGAAGAGAAGGCAUUCUUCGGUGGGCAGCAAUGGGUUUUAUCUCGGCUGCUCCAAGAAUAUUCGGUGGCCGCGCGCAAUGCGGCCGGUAGACUCAGUGUUUGUUCCGUAGUAAUUUUUAGUUGAGUUCAAUUUUAAUUUUGAAUAUCUUUAAGUCAAUUUCGAAUUGAUUCAUUAUAUUUUCUUCUCUAAUUCAAUUUUCUAAUUUUUGAUACAUUUAAUCGCGAAAUUAGAGUCAGUGUUGUUCGUCGAUUAAUACUUCUUUUAUUGUUGUUUCUUACAUUCUCAAAAUGGUCAUUCAGUGUUAUUAGAGUCGCGCGUUUAAAGUCACAUCAAGAACGAAGAAUAUAAGAGAUUAUGCGGUACUCCUCGAGAGUACAAUUUGUUACAGUUUUCAUCUUUAUUCUUCUUCUUCUUCGACAACCGGCGGAUGGUUCCUGACAUUCCUCAAUUUUGGGGUGGCCGAAGCAGCAUCAA